GGCACAAUAUGAGAUCAAAUGAGAGGUGAGGCGAGAGAAAAGAGUCUGUAUUAGGUUGAGGGUUGAAACCCAGCAACACAACUCCGUAAGUUGAAUACAAGUUUGGAUCGGCGAAUCUCCGGGAUUUCAGGUCUCCUACUGUUGGAUUCUUCACAUUUGAAAGGAAGAGCUUUCUAAACGCAUUCUUGAGCAACAUUGGAUUGUUUUUCGGCAACCUCUGCAAAAGCACACUCCAGAUUAACAACUGGGACCAUCCUUCAACUGGAUGGUUCUAGAUGUUCUAGAAAUUAGAAAGAGUUGUAAUCGAGAGGAGGUGCCAAGAUACAAAUGGAAACAGACUACGAGGUCCUAUCAAGUCCUGCCCUUUUACAAAUG